rnacentral:rRNA from 1 species
UACGGGGGGGGCAAGCGUUGUUCGGAAUUACUGGGCGUAAAGGGCUCGUAGGUGGCCAACUAAGUCAGACGUGAAAUCCCUCGGCUUAACCGGGGAACUGCGUCUGAUACUGGAUGGCUCGAGUUUGGGAGAGGGAUGCGGAAUUCCAGGUGUAGCGGUGAAAUGCGUAGAUAUCUGGAGGAACACCGAUGGCGAAGGCAGGUCUCUGGGCCACUACUGACGCUGAGAAGCGAAAGCAUGGGGAGCGAACAGG